AAAACCGAACCCUGAUUUAAAUGUAUAUUGUUAAAAUUUUGAUGUAUUUGAAUUACAUGUAGAUAUUUAUUACAGGCAAUCUGGUAUCAUCUUAGUAUAUGGGGCCAAAAUAGCUUGACCGGUAAGGUAUUGGACCCAUGUCCAAGUGGUCACGAGUUUGAACCCCGCUGGCAGAAGACUCCCUGUGUACAAAAUGGUGACUGGUUCUGGCUAAAUCUGUCCGUGUCAUGAAGUCCUCCAAGUAACAAAUCAAUACCUCUGAGGGUACUGGAUCUGACAUUGAUCAUGCUCUGAUUCAGGUCAAAAUUGUGACCUGCAGCUGGAUGGAUGGUACAUAAAAGUGUCCUUCCUGUAAAACAGGAUGUGACAUAUGUGUGCUGUCUCUGGUUCAUCCUCAGGGGUGUUUCCCUACCGUCGCCAAUAGCCUAUUGUACUGCUCUUGUGCGACAUAAAUUAAAAUCCAUCUUUGUCUGAUACUACAAUUCAUAAAAAUGUUGGUGAGGGUACUAACCUAGGGAUAACUGAAGAACUUCAAAGGAACAGAGAGUUUUACAAGAUUUCUGAAGACAAACCACCCUUUACCUAUGCAUCAUUAAUAGGACAGGCUAUAUAUGAAUCUCCAGACAAGCAGCUUACACUUAAUGACAUCUACAACUGGUUUAUUAGCUCCUUUGGUUAUUUCAAGCCAAAUGAUGCAAAGUGGAAGGUAUGAAGU